rnacentral:rRNA from 1 species
CAGCAGCCGCGGGAAUACGAAGGGGGCUAGCGUUGUUCGGAAUUACUGGGCGUAAAGCGCACGUAGGCGGAUUUUUAAGUCAGGGGUGAAAUCCCGAGGCUCAACCUCGGAACUGCCUUUGAUACUGGAGAUCUUGAGUUCGGAAGAGGUUGGUGGAACAGCUAGUGUAGAGGUGAAAUUCGUAGAUAUUAGCUAGAACACCAGUGGCGAAGGCGGCCAACUGGUCCGAUACUGACGCUGAGGUGCGAAAGCGUGGGGAGCAAACAGGAUUAGAUACCCCUGUAGUCCCUGUCUCUUAUAC